rnacentral:lncRNA from 1 species
AUAAACUAAGGUUUUAGGUCCUACAUGGAUCGACGAGUAUAGUCAGAUCGACACCGCGAAUUAUGAGGUUUAUAUGGAUUGCUCAAUGAAUUGUCAAGACCAAUGUAUGAAAAACGAACCACAAUAGUUAACCAUACAUGAGGCUGGAAGGAGUUCGACCUAACCAGUAAACUGGCCAAGUCCCCGGUAAAAAAAGUGAAAAAAAAAGAUAAAAAAAUACAAAUAAAUUUAAUAAAAUAUGAAAAAUAUGUUUAAAGCAUGAUUAAACAAAACACAUCCAAAUGAAGUUGAAAAUUAAUGAAAAAAAUGGAUUUCAAAGAAUCGAUUUGUGAUCAGGGG